AUGUGAAGGAACUUAGUUCCUUGAUGUUGGAUAUUCACCAUAUGUCUGAACAAUUUAACUUCAUUUUAGGGUUGCAUUUGUGUUCACAAGUCGAGAUUAGAACACAGGGAUCCUAUGACUUACUUAACCUCUUGUCUUUGUCAAUAUGGUUCUUAGGCUUAAGCUCACCCUUCUUGUCUUUAAAACUUUCUACCCUCCUUUUUCUUUGUUUGAUGAAGAAGAGGUAUUAGUCUCUAAGUUGGGUAUCAACAGUGGCAAAGACUGAAGAAGUCCUUGGCUCCCUUCCCUCCCUUCUGACGUCGGAUCGUGCCCACAGAAAUGAAGUUAAGCAUCUUGUCCCCAAACAUACGGUGAAUAUCCAACAUCGAGGAAUUUUUGCUUACUUUACCUGUGUGGCCUACGGAGUCCUCCCCUUAGUUCAACCUUUCUCAAAUCCAAUCCUUUACUUGGAUGUCGCACUGGAUUUUCAACAACCCACAAAGAUUGAAUCUAUCAAGACACGCCUUUCUUUUUUAUGGGAGUUUGUACCUUGUCCUUUCAUAAAAAUCUAAAACGUGCUAGUGAUAAUAUCCUCUCCCUUUCUACUCAAGAAUAUCAAAUGAAGGUUGGAAGUGAGUGCCCUGGACAACCCCUGAGGUCAUCACCGUAGAUGAUGUGGGAGUAGGUGGGGAAACCAGCUUUCAUAGAAGAAAAUGAAAGAAUAUGAGAAGGGCCUCCAUAACAAGAAGCACGCAAGAAACUAAACUGACUUAUGGUGAUUUUGCGAAGUAUUAGAGCUGAAAUCAUGAAUUCAAUUCCAUCUGUUUCCUCCCAUAUUAGUAGUCCGCUUGUUGGGGUUUGUACAUUAAGUUUAAUAUGAGAACCCACAUGUUGGGGAUAAUGUUGAAGAUAUUCACAUAUAGUGAAAUGAUUAGAUUUACUCUACAAUCAUUCCAGCUUGGAUUUGGUGCUGAUUUAUUGGCAAUCCUAUCUCAUUUCUUCCUUGUGUUUUUUGGAUUCCACUUGUUGAGAAGAUAGCCACAAUCCUCGGAAGAUAGAGAAUGCCUCGUUUUACUUAAAAGGAUAGGCAUGCCUUUUAUAUUAAGUGGAAUUUGCCCCCACUACCAUUUCCCCUUUUAGGUUGUCUUGCACGCCAGUCAUCAUGUCAGUUCAAUCUAUUGAACUAGUUUGUAAGCUCUGAGUACAAAUUCUUCACAAUGGAAUUUUGGUUAUACUUUUGAUGAGAACUAUGGAUAUUCACUGGUAUACUAAGAAUAUAAUUUGUUGACGGCA